AGGCUGACCUUGAACUCACUUGGACCAUUGUCGAUCCUCCUGCCUCAGCCUCCCAAGUGCUAGGAUUACAGUCUUACUAUACAGGUCAGGCUGACUUGAACUUAUGUAGCCCAGGUGCACCUCGAACUCAUGGCUCUCCUCCCUCAGCCUCCAGAGUGCUGGGAUUACAGAAUGUUCCUGGAGGAAGCAAGAGCUUUGCCAACGACUGCUUGGAAAGACCCAAAGGUAGAAGUGAAUGUCGUUGGCUUUCACCUAAGAAAAGAACCGAAUUCGGGAAAACUCAAGUAACCCAAAGUCACCGUGAAGCAAGGGCAAGCCACUAACAACCAGCAGUCUGCAUAUGUGGAGGGUUCUUUUGCUGUCCUUUGCUGCCAUGAACGGUUGCCCCUCAUCAUGCCACCUGCCUGGGAGCCAGCUGAGUAUGGACUGAAACCUCCACACACUGUGAGCUAAAUAAACCUUCCAUUUCUUAAUUUGGGGUAUUGGGAAUUUUGCCUCGGCGAUGAGAGAAAAGUAACCAAGACAGACACUGAAUGAGUAGCAAAACAAGACAAGGUAGUUCAUGGCUGAGUUUUGGGUCUUGAAUAAUCUUCAUCUUGGUCCCAGCUUUUUGAGGCUUGGUGGAGCAAUGUUUCUAUUCACACCACGGAAACAGAAUUGAAUAAUUUACUGGCCAACAGCUGAAUCCUUUUCCCCUUACUCCUGCCUGCAUCGUAAUCAUUUGCCACCCACUAUUUGGGGAAAUUGUGGGUCCAUUUUUGAGCUCAGGCUAAAGUAAAACAAAUCUAAAGGUCCUGUUCAAAGGCAAUUUGUUCCACAAACCUGCUGCUGUGACCUCAAGUACCUCUGUUUCCUCUAAAUCCACACAGCACUUUGAACAAGAUAGCUACCCUUUCAGGACACAGCCCAUACUGCCCUCAGUAUGAAUACUGUGCCAGCAUUCCUGUAGGACUGGCGGACUGUGAAGACCAGACUUGCUAUGCUGAACAUCCUCCACAGUGCCUGGAGCAUGCUGGUAUCAAAGAAGUGUCCAGCAAAUAUUUGCUAAGUCAGUGAGCAAAAUGAUGGAAGGGCCAAAAAAGGAGAGAGAGGCAGAGAAACAGAUUUUAAUUAAAUCUAUGUAGAAAUUUCUUUAUGCCACCAGGUACAUGGGAAUAUAGAGUCAUCUGACAAAUUUUUGUUCAACAUGUUUGCUGUAUGUUGUGUUAAGUACACCAUGAUUAAAAAAUACAGCAUUUCUUUUUAAAGAGUUUUAACCAAAACAAAACAACAAAAAAAGAGAAUGACUUGUGAAUUAAGUAUGAUAAUAUAAUUUUAGGUUCUGAGUGUUCUCUGACAGUAAAAAGGGGCUGAACUACAAACAAGGACAUCUCUGAUCGGGGCAGAGGCGUGCGGCACCCAUUCUGUGUUGGCCCAGCCGGUUCACAGCCAGGCUUUCCUGGUCUCUGCAGGAUGUUCAUCCUAUAGAAUGUGAAGAACAAAUUCAGGGAGACUGGGAUUUCAUCGUGGGUCACACGGUCAGUAAAGCAACUGAGUCAUCCCUCCAUCUGGCUCUUCAGAUUCAAACUCACCUGCUCCCCGGAGAAUGGUCUACCUGACCCAGGAACUGUCUUUCAGAGCUUGACUCUGCUCAGAUAUAGGACCAGAGAGAAGAAAACCCUGGGCUUAACUUAAGAAGAUUGUCCUACUGUAAUGAACCCCCUUGGGAUCUGCCGGAGAACAAACUGGCUGCUUAUUGGCCUCACAAGGACUCUUUUAACCCUAGCAUCUGACUUUCGUGCUGAGGAGGUCUGGUUUUCCCAUCUCACACCUGGCCUUCAGGCUGCCUCAGCUGAGCCCCAGCUGUUGGGCCCAUAGGGAGGUGCAGACACAGGCUCUAAUCUGCAGCUCAGCCUGCUUUGCUUUGGACCUGGGUUUUACAUCAGUUCUGCCUUCUAGGCUUUGGUUAAUUAUCAAAAACCUGAUGCCUCUGGGUUUUUAUUUUGUUAAAUUCUGGAUACU